UUUCUUGGCCACAAAGCAGCAAUAUGGAGGUCAGAAGUAUACUCAAGCAAAUAAGAGAUGAAGUUUUGAGGGAAAGAGAAACACAGUGGUAUGUUCGUAUUGUAAGAAGCCUGGACAUUCAGUAGAGAAAUGAUACAGAAUCAUUGGAUUUCCUGCAGAUUUUAAAUUCACUAAAACAAAAGGUUUCAAGGAGGUGUCUAGGGAUAUGCAGCAGCCACAACAGAUCCUAAUUCUGAACAGUCAAUCUAUGGUUUGGAGAAAGGAUUCACUCAAGAUCAAUAUCACACUCUAUGUCAGCUGCUUCAACAAGCUAAAUUCACACCACAAGGAGACAUCAGCUCAGAAGUGAAUGUGACUGCAAAUUGUGUAGGCCCCUUCAAUGAAGAGGCCAGUGGUUCUUGGUAAAGAGAAACAAGGGAUUUAUUUACUCCACACCAUCAAGCCUAGUAGCAGUUUGAUUGAUUCCAAAAAGGACUAUUGUCCAAUUUUUUCAGCUUCUAAGAAGGACUACUGUCCAGUUCUCUCUAAGUAUGUUAGGGAUAGUGUUAAGUCUUUAGUUUCAAUUUCAUGUUGUUCUUCAUUUUCAAAUGAUGUAAGCCUAUGGCACUUAAGGUUAGGGCAUUUGCCUUAUUCAAAUAUGAGAAAUAUCUCUUCUAUUUC